GGAGAGAUCAGCUCUGACUGGGUCUGGAGUCCAACCAGAGAGAGGCUGCAAAGAGCUAAGAAGCUGCUUCAGCACCAUGGACAGAACGCUCUGCCCAGCGGCACCCAGAGCCCUAGGGAGAAACCCCCCGGCUUCAUAUCGCUGACAUCCUCGCCCUGCUUUACUUCCCGGAUGUAAAUCGGUCAGUCGCCUCCCAAUCUGAUUUUUCAACAGUGCUUUACUUCAUCUGGCAACCAAACACCCUCUGAAACGUGCUUCCCAUAUGCAAGGAAAAUGCAGUAGCGACAGCCUCACUACCUCGCGGGUACCAUCAGAGACCUGGAGAAACCGAAGAGAAGCCGACGACCAGGAGUCUCUGGAAAUCUCAUCUCCCGGUUCUAAACCUUGAAAUAAAAGAACGUUUUCUGAGCUCCCGGAUACCUGAGGAUGUUUCCUUGUUCAAACGCUGAGAGCUGCAGCCUUGGCUAAAGCCCACAGACGGAGAAUACAGAGCACUGAGCCAAAAGCUAGUGAUGUCAUCCGUGCAACGUGAGACUCAUUUCUUAUUUUUCUAGCCUCCUUAAAGAUAAACUGCACCAUUUUACCGGCAGGCGAUGUCUAAGUUUUACUCUUUGAACAGGCAAGUCAAUGGUGUAUAUGUAUGUAUGUGCUUAACCACAUACAUAUUUAUGCACACAUACAUAUGUGUCCUGUGUAAUGCGUUUACUGCACAUGCUAUUAGAAAUUUAGGAAAGUGCCUGAAUUUCAUACUCCUAUGCUUAAAAAAAUGGCAAAAUCCCUCAAAUAAUAAAGAGAUCUUUAGAUACAUAUUUAUAUAGUGAUUAAUGAGGAGCUGAUAUUCUGAGGGACUUUCAGCUCAUAUGCAAAAUUGGAUUUUUUCCCCUUUUCUCCUCACCACAGUUCCCCAUUUGUGGUGUCUCAGUUUGCAGGGGUUUUUGUUUGUUUGUUUUCACCAGAAAAGCUACAUACUCAGCCUUCCUGGCUGCAGGCAUUUCCAUCACUGAACUCUAUGGCUUUCUGUGGGCUUAUUAAUAGGCAGCCCUAUCUCAGCACAAACAUCAUUAGAAAUUCCCCACCACCUAACCCACCUCCACUCCUCCAGCUAUGUGUGAGGAAGACAGAGGAACAGAGAGAGACAGAUAAACAGAAAGACACAAAGUGAGUUCUAAUGCAUGUAGCAUGAGAGAUGAAGAAUUUUAAUGGAUGUGCUUUUUAAUAGUUAUUCUGAAAAUAUCUGGAGGAAAAAUUUAGAGGGAAGGAUGGUAAGUUAAUAAAAUAUUGGGGGAUGAUUUUUCUCUAUAUGUAGGAGUCAGCUAGAUUUAAGAUGUGCAUUUAUCUAUAGGGACCUAUAGGAAAAUAAUGCACGACUAAUGGGUGGCCAGCAAAGCCUGACAUGAAGGGCACCCAGGAGGAUGGGCUCCUGUCCUGAACAAAUUCAUUAAGACAAGCUGCUUGCAUUGUCUGCUCUGAGAUCUCACCACAGAUGUUGUCAACAUUGCCUCUUAGAUUUGUUUUGUUUUGCUUUAUUUUUACUCAAAAGCCUUAUUUGUUAUUUUCAUCCUCCACCUAUUAGAUUCAACUCUAUCAAGAAAUUGUUGGGUUAAUAGACUGUCAAAGACCGGAGCUGCAGGCUAAGAGAAGAGCCUUCUGGAGGAUAAGGAUGUUCACAGCAUUUUGCUUUGCCCUCUGGGGUUUUUGAACCAAAAUGAGCGCCUCUCCACCAUGUUCUUUUUGUCCUUCCUCUCCCUUCCUCCUCCUUGCAGUUUAAAAAAUAAAUGAAAUAGGGGUUUCAGUGCCAUCUAGUGGGGGAGGGGAGUCUUUCACUCCCCUUCUUAGGAUUCUGAGAUAUGAUUUGCAGAAAGGUGGGCAGUGGCCUGAAUUUGCCCCUGCUGUCCUUAUGUUAUUUGGUUAGCCAAGUGAGCUGAGCAGCUUGGUGCCAUUUCCUUGAGCCACAAGAUCUAGGGACAAAAUCCAGGUAACACAGGUCACCAAUGCCCAACUUGUUCCCUUCCUCUCAGUCCCCAAACCCAAGAUUUCUCAGGAAAAAUUAAUAAACAAAUAAACAAUGACACUGUUAAUUUCUGAAACAGUUUUCUCACAAGGAUCUCAGAAUAUUUUCUCACGUGCUAUCUCAUUCAUCUUUUUAGCAUUCCUACAUUUGAUAAACAAGAAGAGACACCAGGAGAUGACAUGCACAAGGUCACACAGUAAACUAAAUACAAAGACUGGAACAUUAGUCUCUUGGCUCUUAAAUCUUAUCUAUUCCCUCUAGACCAGGUAACAUAUGGCACUAAUGGCACCUAAGUCAAUCCUUGGUGGUAAUUUACUACUACCCACUUUUCUCUUUUCAUUUCAGGUUGCUUUCCUCUUUCACUUUUCCACUCCAUGCUUUUUCCUUCAUUUUUGCCUUUCCUUCCUGCCUUUAUCUUGAGCCUCAAACUGUUAGCUGUGAAAAUUUUUGGUGAUAAUUAGAGAUUCUUCUUCUUAGAGCCAUAAGCAGUCACCCUCCCCUCCCCUGAGCAAAUUGGGAAAGGAGGACUUACUUUGGAUUCUCUAGGUCAUUAGGAAGUUUCUAUACUGAUACAUAAAAAGGACUCUAGGGACAACUAGGUGCCUCAGUAGAUGGAGAGCUAAGUCUGGAAAUGGACAGUCCUGGGUUCAAAUUUGACCUCAGAGACUCUCUAGCCGUGUGACCCUAGUCAAGUCACUUAACCCCAAUUGCCUAGUCCUUACUGCUCUUCUGCCUUGGAACCAAUACUUAGCAUCAAUUCUAAGGCAGAAGGUAAGGGUUCUUUUUUAAAGCACUGCUAGUUAAUUGAAGAAUUUGGAGGGAUUGAGGAUCUGAUGCACAUCUGCCAGAGAGAGUCCAUCUUUGGAUAAUGCUACUGUCAACUCUAAUAAAUUUCUCAAACUGGGACAAAACCCCAAUGGUCCUUCCCUUCCUGCUGUCAGGAUGACUACAUCUCCUUCAUUAGAUGAGUCCCUAUUCUCUCCCUUCUUGUGAUUAUUAUGUUAUGUUAUAACUCUGCCAUUCACCUCUGCUUUCAAACAUUUUGUUUUUUCCAUCCUUUCUAUUUCUACUACUAUCCAAUUUCAGAUUCUAACCACCUUGCCACUGGACAAGAGAUUCCUAACUUAUUUCCAUGUCUCUGGGAUCUUCCCCAUUCAUACCUCUCCCACAUUAAUUUUUCUGAAAACAUUGAUUUUAUCAUGGUUUUCCCCUACUCAAAAACUUUAAAUUACUCUGUAUUGCUCACCGAAUAAGAGUCCAAACUCCUAAAUCUGGCAUUCAAGGCCUUCCAAAAAUCUGGACCCAACCUGCCUUUUCAUACUUACAUGAUUGCAAAUUUAGAACUAGAAAGGGUCAUCAUGGCCAACAUUUCUUUUUACAAGGAAACUUCCUUUGACAGAGGGUAAAAUGACUUGUGAAACAAAUAUUCUGCUGUAGUCAAGCUGGUUUAUUAGCUUUGCUGUAAAACAUAUCAUUCACAUUCCCAUCAUUUCACUUCUGCAUAUAUGUAAAUUAAGUAUAGGAUCAUUCCAAUUCUUCACUCAAAAGCUGUCAGUAACUUUGCCUACUGAAUAAAAUCUAAACUAUUAAUCCUAGCAUUCAAGGCCCUCCACAAUAUGACUCUAACAACUCUGGGUCCAACUUUAUCUCAUCUAAUUCCUUUUCACAUGUUCAAUAUUCUGGUACUACUCUCCAUCUUCAGUUCUCAUCCUGCCAUUUCCUGUUUUUAUGAUUUUGCUCAUAUCAUUCCCUCUGGGUAAAAUGGCUUGCUCUGUUUGUUGAAGAAUCUCCACUUCACUUGCCAACCUUAUUCCAACGUUAGGGAAAAAUAAGCUCUCCCUACUCAAAUGUUUCUUUACACUUUGUCUGAAUCUUUCUUAUGUACUUAGCUUGCUUUCCCUUAUAUCUUAGUUAUUUGUACAUAUGUGCUUUGCUUAUUGGAUCAUAGGCUCCUUCAGAUAAAGGUUUAUAUUAUAUACAUCAUUAUAUCACCAGAAUUUAGCAUAAUACUUUGUAUAGAUAUAUAUGUGCAUGUGUGUGUGUGUGCUUAAUCAAAGUUUGUUGAAUUGCCAAUCUUGAUAGUAGCAUUGAGAGGAAACCCACAAAUUUUUAAGGAAUACACUUGGACAUAUGGAAAGUUUAUUCUGGUUCUUCAUUUUCCAUGUAUCUCAAAAAGGAGAGUUCCAACUGAAAAUAUUCACUCAAAAAUAAAGAAUCUCUUUUCUAAAA